AUUGAACGCUGGCGGCAGGCCUAACACAUGCAAGUCGAGCGAGCGGCGGACGGGUGAGUAAUGUCUGGGAAACUGCCUGAUGGAGGGGGAUAACUACUGGAAACGGUAGCUAAUACCGCAUACCAUCAGAUGUGCCCAGAUGGGAUUAGCUAGUAGGUGGGGUAACGGCCCACCUAGGCGACGCUCCCUAGCUGGUCUGAGAGGAUGACCAGCCACACCGGAAAUGAGAAACGGUCCAGCCGCCUACGGAAGGCAGCAGUGGGGAAGAUUGCACAGUGGGCGCAAGCCUGAUGAAGCCAUGCCGCGUGUGUGAAGAAGGCCGUCGGGUUGUAAAGCACUUUCAGCGGGGAGGCGUUACCCGCAGAAGAAGCACCGGCUAGCUCCGUGCCAGCGGCGGCAGUAAUAC
rnacentral:rRNA from 1 species